rnacentral:rRNA from 1 species
AAAUUGAAGAGUUUGAUCAUGGCUCAGAUUGAACGCUGGCGGCAGGCCUAACACAUGCAAGUCGAACGGUAACAGGAAGAAGCUUGCUUCUUUGCUGACGAGUGGCGGACGGGUGAGUAAUGUCUGGGAAACUGCCUGAUGGAGGGGGAUAACUACUGGAAACGGUAGCUAAUACCGCAUAACGUCGCAAGACCAAAGAGGGGGACCCUCGGGCCUCUUGCCAUCGGAUGUGCCCAGAUGGGAUUAGCUUGUUGGUGGGGUAACGGCUCACCAAGGCGACGAUCCCUAGCUGGUCUGAGAGGAUGACCAGCCACACUGGAACUGAGACACGGUCCAGACUCCUACGGGAG